CUGAGCCCCCACCCCCUCCCCGCCACCCCCAGCCCACUGCUGUGGACUCCUGCGCCGCCCGAGCCUCCUCGACGAGCACCGCCCCCUGCUCCAGGGCGCCCAGUCCCAUAGACCGCCCGAAGGCUGAGGACUGCUGGCGCAUGGCGCGGGACUGGCAGGCAGCUCCACCUGCGGCCCCUGUGCGGGAUCCACUGCGUGAAGCCAGCUGGGCUCCUGAGUAUGGUGGGGACUUGAAGUAUCUUUAUGUCUAGGUAAGGGAUUGUAAAUACACCAGUCAGCACUCUGUAUCUAGCUCAAGUUUUGUAAACACACCAAUCAGCACCCUGUGUCUAGCUCAGGGUUUGUGAAUGCACCAAUGGACACUGCAUCUAGCUAAUCUAGUGGGGAGGUGGAGAACUUUUGUGUCUAGCUCAGGGAUUGUAAAGCACCAAUCAGCACCCUGUUAAAACAGACCAAUCAGCUCUCUGUAAAAUGGACCAAUCAGCAGGAUGUGGGUGGGACCAGAUAAGAGAAUAAAAGCAGGCUGCCUGAGCUGGCGGUGGCAAUGCUUCCCUGUCUCCUUCUGUACUGUGGAAGCUUUGCUCUUUUACUCUGCAAUAAAUCUUGCUGCUGCUAACUGUUUGGGUCCACGCUACCUCUAUAAGCUGUAACACUCACCAUAAAGGUCUUACAGCUUCAUUCCUGAAGCCAGUGAGACCACGAACCCAGCAGGAGGAACGAACAACUCCAGACGCGCUGCCUUAAGAGCUGUUAACACUCACCGCAAGGUCUGCAGCUUCACUCCUGAAGCCAGAGAGACCACGAACCCAGCAGGAGGAAUGAACAACUCCAGAUGCGCCGCCUUAAGAGCUGUAACGCUCACCGCGAAGGUCUGCAGCCUCACUCCUGAGCCAGCGAGACCACGAACCCACCAGAAGGAAGAAACUCCGAACACAUCCGAACCUCGGAAGGAAGAAACUCCAAACACAUCCAAACAUCAGAAGGAACAAACUCUGCACACACCGCCUUUAAGAACUGUAACACUCACCACCAGGGUUCGCGGCUUCAUUCUUGAAGUCAGUGAGACCAAGAAGCCACCAAUUCCGGACACAAUAUGAAGUAAGUUUUCCUAUGUCUUUUAAAAAUAUAUAUUAAUAUAUUUAAUAAGAAUUUAUUACCUUUUCACUACCCUAUUUGGUACUAUUCUUAUUCAUUUUACUUUUUAUUUUUAAAAACUUUUGCAGUGGUAUGAUUGUAUAUGGAAAGGUCAAUGAAAAAAAUUCACUCUUCCUAAUCUGAAAUGGCAUGUUUAUUUUCAUUUAUUUAUUUUUACUGACAUGACCAUAUAAGGGUUAGUGAAAGAAAAUGUUCACUACUUAAAGUUUCCUGG
rnacentral:lncRNA from 1 species